rnacentral:SRP_RNA from 1 species
UCAACUUAAUGUGACAGUCCCCUGAAGGGAAUAAUACUACUGUUGGUUAGACCUAGGAAGCUGCACCGCUUCCUGUCGGCCUUGACACAUUUCCUGUGUCCUUAUGUUUACAAGGGGGAGAUGUUUGUCUCCCCCUUGUAAACAUAAGGACACAGGAAAUGUGUCAAGGCCGACAGGAAGCGGUGCAGCUUCCUAGGUCUAACCAACAGUAGUAUUAUUCCCUU